UAGGUAGCAGUAGGUUACUGUCAGUAUUACCUGUAUAGGUAGGUUACUGUCAGUAUUACCUGUAUAGGUAGCAGUAGGUUACUGUCAGUAUUACCUGUAUAGGUAGCAGUAGGUUACUGUCAGUAUUACCUGUGUAGGUAGCAGUAGGUUACUGUCAGUGUUACCUGUAUAGGUAGGUUACUGUCAGUAUUACCUGUAUAGGUAGGUUACUGUCAGUAUUGCCUGUAUAGGUAGCAGUAGGUUACUGUCAGUAUUACCUGUAUAGGUAGGUUACUGUCAGUAUUACCUGUAUAGGUAGCAGUAGGUUACUGUCAGUAUUGCCUGUAUAGGUAGGUUACUGUCAGUAUUGCCUGUAUAGGUAGCAGUAGGUUACUGUCAGUAUUGCCUGUAUAGGUAGCAGUAGGUUACUGUCAGUAUUGCCUGUAUAGGUAGCAGUAGGUUACUGUCAGUAUUGCCUGUAUAGGUAGGUUACUGUCAGUAUUGCCUGUAUAGGUAGCAGUAGGUUACUGUCAGUAUUACCUGUAUAGGUAGGUUACUGUCAGUAUUGCCUGUAUAGGUAGCAGUAGGUUACUGUCAGUAUUGCCUGUAUAGGUAGGUUACUGUCAGUAUUACCUGUAUAGGU